GACGUAGGGCGCAAGCGUUGUCCGGAUUUAUUGGGCGUAAAGAGCUCGUAGGCGGCUUGUUGCGUCGUCCGUGAAAACCCGCAGCUCAACUGCGGGCUUGCGGACGAUACGGGCAGGCUAGAGGUAGGUAGGGGAGAAUGGAAUUCCCGGUGUAGCGGUGAAAUGCGCAGAUAUCGGGAGGAACACCGGUGGCGAAGGCGGUUCUCUGGGCCUUACCUGACGCUGAGGAACGAAAGCGUGGGGAGCGAACAGG
rnacentral:rRNA from 1 species